rnacentral:rRNA from 1 species
CCUACGGGAGGCUGCAGUAGGGAAUCUUUCACAAUGGGCGAAAGCCUGAUGGAGCAACGCCGCGUGCAGGAUGAAGGCCUUCGGGUUGUAAACUGCUUUUAUAAGCGAGAAAUAUGAUGGUAACUUAUGAAUAAGGAUCGGCUAACUACGUGCCAGCAGCCGCGGUCAUACGUAGGAUCCGAGCAUUAUCCGGAGUGACUGGGUGUAAAGAGUUGCGUAGGUGGCAUAAUAUGUAGCUAGUGAAAUCUGGUGGCUCAACCAUUCAGACGAUUAGCUAAACUGUUAAGCUCGAGACCGUUAGGGGUAACUGGAAUUUCUAGGGUAGGGGUGAAAUCCGUAGAUAUUAGCAGGAACACCAAUAGCGUAGGCAGGUUGCUGGGACGGUUCUGACACUAAGGCACGAAAGCGUAGGGAGCAAACGGGAUUAGAUACCCCGGUAGUC